AGACCCGCUGCCGGGCCGGGGCUGGGCCGGAGCGGCGGCGCCUGGAUGCCGGCCCGGGGCUGGGCCGGAGACUGGCGCCCGCCCCGAAGCGACUUUCGGUCCCCGACCCGCUCCGCCUGACCCCUAUGAUGAAGAGGGCGUCCACUGGAGUUCUUGCUGUCGACAUCUUUGACAAGUUCAACUUCACGGGAGCCAGAGUCCCAUGGUUCGACGCCAUUCAUGAAGAAUUCCCCAGGGAGCUGGAGUCCUCCAUCUCCUUCCCAGCCAACUUCUUCAAACCACCUGAAGAAAAAGGUAGAACCGCUUAGAAACCUGCUACUUCCCUUGGAGUCCCCAGCGUUCAGGGAGGGGAGGGCUCCCCCUGCGGGCAUCCCAGGAGGAUGAACACGCCAUACUCCCUGCGCACUGAAGAUCCGGGGCCGGAGUGUUCCGAGUGUUCGCUGGCACCAAGUCCUAUUGGUGACAGCAGGUUGUUUUGUCCAAGUGCUUAGGUAGAGGUUGAGCAUCCUAAUCCUGAAAUCUGAAAUGCUCCAGAAUCUGAACCUUCUUGAGCACCAACCUGACACUUAAAGGAAGUGCUCAUUGGAGGUAGAGACGGGGUUUCACCGUGUUAGCCAGAAUGGUUUCGAUCUCCUCACCUCGCGAUCCAUCCGCCUCAGCCUCCCAAAGUGCUGGGAUUACAGGCGUGAGCCACCGUGCCUGGCCCUCAUGUGUCUUAAAAAGAGGGGUGACUCUGAUGUGGGGUCAUGCUUGAAACUGAGAGGACGAGGUCCCCGACCCUCCAUUGCAGCCAGCUCUCUCUGGAACUAACAGAAAGGCCCCCUGGUAAGGCCAGCCAGCCGGAGGACCACCCCGCAGACCACACGCCCAGGGCCUGGCACCGAGGGGGAGGCCCCGAUCAGCAGGUGAAAGCGACACCCUGAUGACACUGGCUAGUUCACCUUCACUCUGGUCAUCGUUUACUGUACCCCGGGGCAGCUCCCGCCUGAGCCCUAUGACCCCAACCGCCGCAGCCUCUGGCUGCCUCACUGGCCCAUCAUUAAUACGUCGAUGGUGAGCGCACUGGUGUACAGCGAGGGGGCUCCACUUCCGAGACCCCUGGAGAGGCCCGUCCUGGUGGAGUUCACCCUGCUGGAGAUGGAGAAGCGAACCAAGCCUGUCUGUGUGUUCUGGAACCAUUCCCUGGCGUAAAUGUGAUGCCGGGAGUUCUGCAUCUUCAUGUGAGGGCUUUGCCAAGACACAGAGAACCCGCAGGGUUGUUGGCUCAGCGGCAGAUCGUCCCACGGGGACAGUCUCUUGUGGUCUGUGUCUCCCCCUUCAGCCCCCUGUGGGGCAGUGAGCCUCCUGCUCUGCUUCUGUGGGUGCAUCAGAGCCCCCCCAGAUGCCCACACGCAGACGCGCACAGGCCUGCACGUGGAAACACAGACAUGCGCACACGCAGGCCCACACACAGACGCACACAGAGCUGCACGUGGAGACACGUGCGCACACGCAGGCCCACACGCAGGCCCACACACAGGUGCACGCGGACCUGCACGUGGAGACACAGAUGUGUGCACAUGCAGGCCCACACACAGGUGAGCGUGGACCUGUGUGAACAGAUGCGCGCAGACCUGCACGUGGAGACACAGACAUGCAGGCGCACAAAGAGAUCCCUCAAGGCUGACACCCAGGAAGGGGCCUCUCACUUGUGGGACUCCCGAGAUGCAGUGGCCAACACGAGUGUAGUGCCCAGUUCACUGCUGGAUAAGACAGAGGCCUGUUCUGGUCACACAUGGGAGGCAGAACCCAGAGACUGGGCCCAGGAGCCCUUCUGCUGACAGUGGGAACUCCCAGCUACGUGUGGGGGUCCCCAUACCAGACAAAGGUCCCUGACCUUAGUCUUGCCCGAGAGGCCGACACAGCCCAGCUUUGGGGUCUGGCUUUACCCACAAGAGGCCACACCUUGCCACAGCACUGUUUAUCUGGCCUGUUUCAGAAGCACCGUCAGAGUGGCGAAGGCAGGAGGUGGUGCACGAGAGUCUACGUUCUAGCAUCCAUUCAAGUGAGGGAAAGGCGUUUCGUACUUAGAAAAAUGCAAAAUUAAUGAUUCUCACCCACACAUGAGACUGUGGAUUCACCCAUGUAUGAGAUAGUGGAUUCAGAGCCAUGCUGUGGCUCUCAUCUGCUGGGAGCCAGUAGUGUUUGUGCUUUGGUUUUGCUUUUUUAGCUACAUGGUUUAUGUGAGGUGCGGACUUACUUGAGUUGCUCUGUCUUUACAGGGAGCUUGCUUUUUCUCUGCUGGUUUGUUUUCACUUUUGCUGUCUCUGUUUAGAAGAAAACAUUAGAACUGGGGUGUGGUGGAAGGAUGGGAGCACAAUCUGGGAGGGGAAGACCUGCUCUCUCUCCACAUACCAGGAGGGAGUGGCAGGAAGGGGAGACACUGUGCCGGACUCAGGGAGUCAAGAGCGUGAGCACCCCCAGGCUUCAAUCUGCUGAACGUUGUGCAUCUGGGGGCGCCCGUGCAGCAGGAACACUCUCCCCAUCACAAUUCCUCUGGGCACAGUGGAGAGCCAUGAGUGGGGGCUGUCCUGGGGGCUGCGCUAUGGUGAGUGAGCCCACGCCAGGAGCCAGUUCAGCCCAGCCUCAUUCUUCUCCUGCUUCUUUGCUUUCCAAGUUCUAGUUCAUAAGCAACCAGCACAGUACCUGGAAUGUAAGAGGCGCUUGGCUUAUAAAAGAGAGAAGAAAGGAACCCCUUUCACCACGAGGGACGUCAGGCCCAGCUCUCUGUCCCGGGCAUUCAUCUUUUUUCCGGCAAUUAGCUUCAGCUCUAAUGACCUGCUGUCUGCUUUAUGUUGCACCUAUGAUUUCCAGAUUGUAAAGUUUGUGGCAAAUGUAUUAACGUUCACAUCCCAUUUACAGAUUAGCAAACUAAGGAUCUGAGAGGUUAUGUGAUUUUCCCAGUCUGGCGGAGGGCAGGGCCCUGUCAGAAGCCGAGACACACCUCGUAACAGCUUGUUAUUUGGGGCUUCCCAUCAGUGAGGCAGGAGUCAUAAUGGGGCCCUGGCUUCUGGGCAAUUCCCAUAAAACAUUGUGCCACCUGAAGAUGGAAGUGUCAGAGGAAGGCGAGAUGUUAUUUCUGAAAGCAUCUACCCUCAGAAAGAGACAGAGGAGUGCAUCGCAGCUGUGUGAACCCGGGGUGGUGGUGGUUCCAGCAGCGGGGCACGUGGUGGACGCAAGACGGCCCCGUUUGAGUUUUGCUGCUAGGUGACAUGUAGAACUUGAACUUCAGAGGGUGCUCCUUGGAGGCCCUGAUGAGAGAGACACAGAAGGGAAGGGAGACUGUUCCCAUGGUCCUGCCUCUGCGGCAGCGAGCCUGCUGCUCUUGCAGCUGGGUGGCUGUUCGGUGCAGGGGGCCGGUGAGGAACACGGUGGGGAGCAGCCUGCGAGGGCGCCGGGCUUUCAGCACUCACUAUACCUGCUGUUUGGUUUGGCCAGGAUGGCCUGGGAGUCCCCAGGGCCGGGCAAAGACUGCCCCCAACAGACAUGGGCGGAGGGAACCGUCUCACCCCUGCCUCUUCUCCCUUCUCUACGCAGUGUCAGUGGGACGGGAGGGUGGUCUGCCCGGGGCUUCAAGCUCCUGUCCAGGAACCGGACCCAUGUCGUACGCCAGUGCAGCCACACGGCCAGCUUCGAGGUGCUCAUGGACGUCUCCAGGUGUGAGAUGGGCAUCUUCUUGUGGCCACUAUGCCCGCUGAGCCUACCCCCAAACCUGCCCCUCCUCAAACUAAAUCUUCCAUUCUAAGCGCUUUGAACGAAGCAAAUCAACCAAUUAAAAAAAUAU
ensembl:lncRNA DGCR5 DiGeorge syndrome critical region gene 5